rfam:Zootermopsis nevadensis contig27184, whole genome shotgun sequence.
GCUACGGUGGUCUAGCGGUUAGAACGCUGGCCUUGUAAUCCUGGGGUCUCGGGUUCGAUUCCCGGCGGUGUCC